rnacentral:rRNA from 1 species
AGCGAACGCUGGCGGCAGGCUUAACACAUGCAAGUCGAACGGUCCUUCGGGAUAGUGGCGGACGGGUGAGUAACACGUGGGAACGUACCCUUAGGUUCGGAACAACACAGGGAAACUUGUGCUAAUACCGGAUAAGCCCUUCGGGGGAAAGAUUUAUCGCCUUUGGAGCGGCCCGCGUCUGAUUAGCUCGUUGGUGAGGUAAUGGCUCACCAAGGCUACGAUCAGUAGCUGGUCUGAGAGGAUGGCCAGCCACACUGGGACUGAGACACGGCCCAGACUCCUACGGGAGGCAGCAGUGGGGAAUCUUGCGCAAUGGGCUAAAGCCUGACGCAGCCAUGCCGCGUGGAUGAUGAAGGUCUUAGGAUUGUAAAAUCCUUUCACCGGGGACGAUAAUGACGGUACCCGGAGAAGAAGCCCCGGCUAACUUCGUGCCAGCCGCCGCGGUAA